rnacentral:rRNA from 1 species
CCUACGGGCGUCAGCAGUGGGGAAUAUUGCACAAUGGGCGCAAGCCUGAUGCAGCAACGCCGCGUGAGCGAAGAAGGUCUUCGGAGCGUAAAGCUCUGUCCUUGAGGGAGAAGGAAGUGACGGUACUCAAGGAGGAAGCCCCGGCUAACUACGUGCCAGCAGCCGCGGUAAUACGUAGGGGGCAAGCGUUAUCCGGAAUUAUUGGGCGUAAAGAGUACGUAGGCGGUAUGGGAAGUCAAGGGUGAAAUCCCCGCGCUCAACGUGGGAACUGACAUUGAAACUGGCAAACUGGAGUGUGUGAGGGGAUAGUGGAAUUCCAGGUGUAGGAGUGAAAUCCGUAGAUAUCUGGAGGAACAUCAGUGGCGAAGGCGACUAUCUGGCACAUAACUGACGCUGAGGAGCGAAAGCGUGGGUAGCAAACAGGAUUAGAUACCCCAGUAGUC